UGUCCUACGGGAGGCAGCAGUGAGGAAUAUUGGUCAAUGGGCGCAGGCCUGAACCAGCCAAGUCGCGUGAGGGAAGACUGCCCUAUGGGUUGUAAACCUCUUUUAUAAGGGAAGAAUAAUGACUACGUGUAGUCAGAUGCCCGUACCUUAUGAAUAAGCAUCGGCUAACUCCGUGCCAGCAGCCGCGGUAAUACGGAGGAUGCGAGCGUUAUCCGGAUUUAUUGGGUUUAAAGGGUGCGUAGGCGGUAUUUUAAGUCAGCGGUAAAAAUUCGGGGCUCAACCCCGUCCGGCCGUUGAAACUGGGG
rnacentral:rRNA from 1 species